AAAGUGAGGACUAAAGUGAUUUUCGGAAAACCUAAAAUUUCUUUUCCUCUCCUCACCUCUCGCGUGCGACGGCGGCAGAUCAGGCGGAAGGUGAAGCCGACCUAGGGUUCCUCUCCGGCGGCCGGCAAGGGCUUCUUUUCAGAAGCCGUUCACGGAUUCGUGGUCUCCUCGUCAAGGAGAACACGCGGAUAGGAAGGGAUCGCAGAGAUCUUCACAUCCUCCGAACCCUAGAAGCUUUAGAGUCCUCUUCUCCAGUUGUAAGUCCGAGAACGUGAGAUUCUGUUGAAUACCAUCAGGAUGCUUAUAAUGAAAUUGAUGGCUAUGGAGAGUUUAGAAACGUGAUGGCAACGGUGAUAAGAUCAUUAGGAAGAAAAAAAAAGAAA